UGCAACUCGCCUGCACGAAGCUGGAAUCGCUAGUAAUCGCGGAUCAGCACGCCGCGGUGAAUACGUUCCCGGGCCUUGUACACACCGCCCGUCACACCAUGGAAGUCUGCAAUGCCCAAAGUCGGUGGGAUAACCUUUAUAGGAGUCAGCCGCCUAAGGCAGGGCAGAUGACUGGGGUGAAGUCGUAACAAGGUAGCCGUAGGAGAACCUGCGGCUGGAUCACCUCCUUUCUAAGGAA
rnacentral:rRNA from 2 species